rnacentral:rRNA from 1 species
UACGGAGGGUGCGAGCGUUGUCCGGAAUCACUGGGCGUAAAGGGCGCGUAGGUGGCCCGUGGAAGUCUGCGGUGAAAGCCCGGCGCUCAACGCCGGGUCGGCCGUGGAUACUCUCGGGCUUGAGCUUACUAGAGGCAGAUGGAAUUCCGGGUGUAGCGGUGGAAUGCGUAGAGAUCCGGAAGAACACCGGUGGCGAAGGCGGCUCUCUGGGACGGUACUGACGCUGAGACGCGAAAGCGUGGGGAGCGAACAGG